GGGUUGUGAGGUUAAGCGACUAAGCGUACACGGUGGAUGCCCUGGCAGUCAGAGGCGAUGAAGGGCGUGCUAAUCUGCGAUAAGCGCCGGUAAGGUGAUAUGAACCGUUAUAACCGGCGAUACCCGAAUGGGGAAACCCAGUGUGACUCGUCACACUAUCAUUAACUGAAUCCAUAGGUUAAUGAGGCGAACCGGGGGAACUGAAACAUCUAAGUACCCCGAGGAAAAGAAAUCAACCGAGAUUCCCCCAGUAGCGGCGAGCGAACGGGGAGGAGCCCAGAGCCUGAAUCAGCAUGUGUGUUAGUGGAAGCGUCUGGAAAGGCGCGCGAUACAGGGUGACAGCCCCGUACACAAAAGCGCAUGUGCUGUGAGCUCGAUGAGUAGGGCGGGACACGUGGUAUCCUGUCUGAAUAUGGGGGGACCAUCCUCCAAGGCUAAAUACUCCUGACUGACCGAUAGUGAACCAGUACCGUGAGGGAAAGGCGAAAAGAACCCCGGCGAGGGGAGUGAAAAAGAACCUGAAACCGUGUACGUACAAGCAGUGGGAGCCCCACCACUAAGCCAGUGGUGAACUCCACAUACGCAUCCUUUGCUGAAGGCAAUGGUUAACGGAGCGAAAGCGACGUUCAACCGCAAAACAAGCAGAGGGGGCUUAGUGGUGGGGUGACUGCGUACCUUUUGUAUAAUGGGUCAGCGACUUAUAUUCUGUAGCAAGGUUAACCGUAUAGGGGAGCCGGAGGGAAACCGAGUCUUAAUUGGGCGUUAAGUUGCAGGGUAUAGACCCGAAACCCGGUGAUCUAGCCAUGGGCAGGUUGAAGGUUGGGUAACACUAACUGGAGGACCGAACCGACUAAUGUUGAAAAAUUAGCGGAUGACCUGUGGCUGGGGGUGAAAGGCCAAUCAAACCGGGAGAUAGCUGGUUCUCCCCGAAAGCUAUUUAGGUAGCGCCUCGUGAAUUCAUCUCCGGGGGUAGAGCACUGUUUCGGCUAGGGGGCCAUCCCGGCUUACCAACCCGAUGCAAACUGCGAAUACCGGAGAAUGUUAUCACGGGAGACACACGGCGGGUGCUAACGUCCGUCGUGAAGAGGGAAACAACCCAGACCGCCAGCUAAGGUCCCAAAGUCAUGGUUAAGUGGGAAACGAUGUGGGAAGGCCCAGACAGCCAGGAUGUUGGCUUAGAAGCAGCCAUCAUUUAAAGAAAGCGUAAUAGCUCACUGGUCGAGUCGGCCUGCGCGGAAGAUGUAACGGGGCUAAA
rnacentral:rRNA from 1 species